UACUGCAUCAGGAACUGAUUGGCUAAUGCUCAAUUGCCAACAGUACCUGAUGCAUUGCC
ensembl:miRNA